GCGAAAGUGGCGGAACUGGCAGACGCACUACCUUGAGGUGGUAGCGGGUUCACUCUCGUGGGGGUUCGAGUCCCCCCUUUCGCA
rnacentral:tRNA from 1 species